GACGAACGCUGGCGGCGUGCUUAACACAUGCAAGUCGAACGGAAAGGCCCCUUUGGGGGUACUCGAGUGGCGAACGGGUGAGUAACACGUGAGUAACCUGCCCUUGACUUCGGGAUAACUUCAGGAAACUGGGGCUAAUACCGGAUAGGAAUCCUUGCUGCAUGGUGGGGGUUGGAAAGCUUCGGCGGUUUUGGAUGGACUCGCGGCUUAUCAGCUUGUUGGUGGGGUAGUGGCUUACCAAGGCUUUGACGGGUAUCCGGCCUGAGAGGGCGACCGGCCACAUUGGGACUGAGAUACGGCCCAGACUCCUACGGGAGGCAGCAGUGGGGAAUAUUGCACAAGGGGCGGAAGCCUGAUGCAGCAACGCCGCGUGCGGGAUGACGGCCUUCGGGUUGUAAACCGCUUUCAGCAGGGGCGAAGCUUGUGGUGACGGUACCUGCAGAAGAAGCACCGGCUAACUACGUG
rnacentral:rRNA from 1 species